rnacentral:tRNA from 8 species
GGAGAGAUGGCCGAGUGGUUGAUAGCUCCGGUCUUGAAAACCGGUAUAGUUCGCAACGAACUAUCGAGGGUUCGAAUCCCUCUCUCUCCU